rnacentral:lncRNA from 1 species
AUUAAGAAUUGUUCUGAUUUAAUAUGUUGGUACGGGAAACAAGGAACAUUAUCCUCAUACAAAAAAAUAAGAUAAUUCUAAAUACAUGUUCCAAAAAAUGGAUUUUUUUACAAAGGAUAAUCUUAAGAUAUACUGGAAUUGUCCUGGACCUCACUUCUGUGAUGGGUAUAUGUUAAUGGAAUCCUUAUCCGAAUACGGGACCAACUUAUUAGUAGUGGUAGACCCCAAUGUCAAAUGAUCUUCAAUUUCUACCGAAAAUUUGCUGAAAAAAUGCUAACAUUCCAAUUUUCAAUAACAGUUAACAGCAAAUACAUUAUCACAAUAACAGAUAACAAAAAAACUAAAAGCCCAAUAACAGCUAACAAAGAAUAAGACAAUAACAGCUAACAAAGAAUAAGACAAUAACAGCUAACAGCAAAUAUAUUUUCAGAAUAACAGAUAACAAAGAAUUAAAUUGCCCCAUAACAGCAUAACAGUUAAACCCCUUGCCCCCCUCAUAAA